UCUAGUUUAACAUAUAUAUAAUGUGGGAGGUUGUAAACUUCUUUAAGGCUAUAGUCAACUAGGA
rnacentral:tRNA from 1 species